GACACAUUCUCCCCUCAAGCCCCAGUGGGAGCACGGCCCAGCUGGAUUUUGGACUUCUGGCCUCCAGAACAACAUCCAUGAUAGCAGUCUUCUGUAAAUCGAACUUUUCAAGAAUUCUCUGAAGGAACCACAUUUUAGACAUGAGUUUACAUCGGCAAAUGGGUUCAGAUCGAGAUCUUCAGUCCUCUGCUUCAUCUGUGAGCUUGCCUUCAGUCAAAAAGGCACCCAAAAAAAGAAGAAUUUCAAUAGGCUCCCUGUUUCGGAGGAAAAAAGAUAACAAACGUAAAUCAAGGGAGCUAAAUGGCGGGGUGGAU
rnacentral:lncRNA from 10 species